CCUACGGGCGGCAGCAGUGAGGAAUAUUGGUCAAUGGACGAGAGUCUGAACCAGCCAAGUAGCGUGAAGGAUGACUGCCCUAUGGGUUGUAAACUUCUUUUAUAUGGGAAUAAAAUGUUCCACGUGUGGGAUUUUGUAUGUACCAUAUGAAUAAGGAUCGGCCAACUCCGUGCCAGCAGCCGCGGUAAUACGGAGGAUCCGAGCGUUAUCCGGAUUUAUUGGGUUUAAAGGGAGCGUAGGUGGAUUGUUAAGUCAGUUGUGAAAGUUUGCGGCUCAACCGUAAAAUUGCAGUUGAAACUGGCAGUCUUGAGUACAGUAGAGGUGGGCGGAAUUCGUGGUGUAGCGGUGAAAUGCUUAGAUAUCACGAAGAACUCCGAUUGCGAAGGCAGUUCACUGGACUGCAACUGACACUGAGGCUCGAAAGUGUGGGUAUCAAACAGGAUUAGAUACCCCAGUAGUC
rnacentral:rRNA from 1 species